GUAAUAGGCUAUAUGCACACUCACUUCCGCAUUCCAAGUCGGCCAGCCAGGUUACAUCCGGCGUCGACGGCGCACAUAGCGUCAAUAACAACUAUGGCAUUUUUCACUCGGUCCCUUCAAGAUGUCCCAAAGGUAACGGUCAACGACGUGAGUCGAAUCAUACAAAAGUUAUGUCACACUUCGACAACCAAGAAAGAGAAGGGCUUCAAAUUGUAUGUGUCAAGCUACAUCCACAAUUUUGAAGAUUGUGCUUGGGGAUGCCCGUCCUGUGCAGCUACAAAGCUGCCAGUGUACCUGUGUGGCAGGUACAGCUGUGUGUAAUCAUGUGGCAGCACUGUUGUACCAGACUGCACAUUAUUGCCAGCUUAGCAUCACCUCUGUUCCCCCAACACACAGCUGCACAGAGACUGAACAGAAGUGGCAUAAGCCAAGAUCCAUGGGUGUUAAACCUGGUCUUGUAAAUGACAUGGUAAUUCUUUCAGCCAGACCCAAGGAACGAAAACUGAUGGAAGGCAUUAGGAGGACAUGUUUAUUCAGAGGAUUCCCAGAGACAAUGAAAUCACCAAAACAAUGAAAGUAAAAAUUGAUUUUUUUUAUUUUUAUUGUUACCUCUUUGCUUCCCUAAAUAAUUAGAUUCUGAUUGCCUGUCACACUUCUUUAUAGAGUGCUGUUAAUUUCUCUUUUCUCCAUUUCUCUUACUGGCAGUAACUCUUAUUAGUUCA
ensembl:lncRNA